rfam:Erinaceus europaeus unplaced genomic scaffold scaffold00538, whole genome shotgun sequence
CCAAAGGCUCUUUUCAGAGCCACUUACUUUGUCCAAAAAAGAGCUU